GAUGAACGCUGGCGGCGUGCCUAAUACAUGCAAGUCGAGCGAACAGACGAGGAGCUUGCUCCUCUGACGUUAGCGGCGGACGGGUGAGUAACACGUGGAUAACCUACCUAUAAGACUGGGAUAACUUCGGGAAACCGGAGCUAAUACCGGAUAAUAUAUUGAACCGCAUGGUUCAAUAGUGAAAGACGGUUUUGCUGUCUCUUAUAGAUGGAUCCGCGCCGCAUUAGCUAGUUGGUAAGGUAACGGCUUACCAAGGCAACGAUGCGUAGCCGACCUGAUAGGGUGAUCGGCCACACUGGAACUGAGACACGGUCCAGACUCCUACGGGAGGCAGCAGUAGGGAAUCUGCCGCAAAGGGCGAAAGCCUGACGGAGCAACGCCGCGUGAGUGAUGAAGGUCUUCGGAGCGUAAAACUCUGUUAUUAGGUAAGAACAAAUGUGUAAGUAACUAUGCACGUCUUGACGGUACCUAAUCAGAAAGCCACGGCUAACUACGUG
rnacentral:rRNA from 1 species